rnacentral:pre_miRNA from 1 species
UUUUUAGUAUAAAUAUGACCCAUAUAACAUUUGGGACAUACUUAUACUAAAA